UACGGAGGGUGCAAGCGUUAUCCGGAUUCACUGGGUUUAAAGGGUGCGUAGGUGGGCAGGUAAGUCAGUGGUGAAAUCUCCGGGCUUAACCCGGAAACUGCCGUUGAUACUAUUUGUCUUGAAUAUUGUGGAGGUAGGCGGAAUAUGUCAUGUAGCGGUGAAAUGCUUAGAUAUGACAUAGAACACCAAUUGCGAAGGCAGCUUACUACACAAUGAUUGACACUGAGGCACGAAAGCGUGGGGAUCAAACAGG
rnacentral:rRNA from 1 species